rnacentral:rRNA from 1 species
UACGUAGGGUGCAAGCGUUGUCCGGAAUUAUUGGGCGUAAAGAGCUCGUAGGCGGUCUGUUGCGUCGGCUGUGAAAACCCGGGGCUCAACUCCGGGCCUGCAGCCGAUACGGGCAGACUAGAGUUCGGCAGGGGAGACUGGAAUUCCCGGUGUAGCGGUGAAAUGCGCAGAUAUCGGGAGGAACACCAGUAGCGAAGGCGGCUCGCUGGGCCGUUCCUGACGCUGAGACGCGAAAGCUAGGGAGCGAACAGG